rnacentral:lncRNA from 1 species
AUGAGAUGCAACCAAGCAUUUCGGGAGAGCUCCUUGCGACGAGCUCUCGACUUUGUUUUGCUUAAAAUAAAGUCUUUUCUUCUGAAAGAAAAAUCCCUGACUGAGUUUGAUCCUUGGGAGAACCGGCAAAAUACACCACAGAUUUGGCACCCCAGAUGGGACUGGAAAGGAGCAGAGUGGACGACUGCUUUUGAGCUGACUGAUGAGCAACACACACACAGUGGUGGCCACCAUAGAAUAAGUUUUCCAUUUACAGGUCACAGCAGUUCCAGUAAGACCAAGGAAUGCUUCGCUCCAUCAAAGAGAACCAGUAAGGGUGCAGAAAUGAUCUCAAGAGAGCCUUGCAUUAAUCAGCAAAACGGUUACAGAGUGACACCUGAGUUCACAUCUCUAACCUUAAAAUACGCCAACCAGCUUCAACAACUCCACACAGCAUGAAGUGAGGGAUGAAGGGCGUGCUAGUAACGACCCACCCUUGCCAACGAGGGAAAGACCAUUGCAACGACUCGCAAAGAGUCUCCCUGGUGAAGAUGGAACGAGAGAGUGAUGGGACUGCUACUGAGAUCAAAAUACUUGGGUGCAGAUAUGAGCCAACAAAUAGAAAAGAAAAAGUGGAAAGAGAAUGUUAAGUAAUGGUAGAUGAAGAAUUUGAAGGUUAUGAGAAGGGAAAUAUGGAUGUAGGAAGAUUUGAAGGGAAAAUAGAGCAACAAAUAGAAUGAAAGGAGCAAAAUAGAAAAGCUCAAGAUUUGUGAAUUGAAGAAGGAAAAGUAUGUGUUAUGUUUUGGGGAAAAUGCUGUAUUUAUAGAAGGGAGCAUUUAAUGAAGAACUGAUCAAAUUGAAAAGGCUAAGAAUGGUGAUAAAGAAAAUGUUGGAAAAGAUAAUAAAAUGUAAGACUGGUUUGAUUUACAGUUAGGAACAUGUGGAGCAUAGUUUAUAAUUAAAUAGGGAAAGUUUUUAGGAAUGGCAUUAAUGACAGGAUAUUUACUAUUUUACUGUAUACUUCCUAUAUUGAGGUCACUAGUCAAAGCCACAGUUAAGCAAAUUAAAUUCAAAGAUAUCAAAAUAAUGGGGAAUUGAUACAUAAGGUAUCUAAGCUGAAGUUCAACUCUUAUAAUCUUGUGAUAUUCAAUGUGUGAUGUGAUUUGUAUUUGUAUGUGUAUGUAUUUUUAUGCCUUUUAUACAAAACUGUGAUAACCAGGCAAAUGCUGAACCAAUUGCACAUUCAUGUUUUUAACAAUGUCUACUAUUAAAGAGGGGUUAGGGAGACUGGAUCUUUUACUCACUCCAUGUCAAAUUAGGAGGGAGAUGUUUGGUCCAGUAAUCCCUCAGAGUGGAAUUUCACAAUCUAGUCACUGGUGAUAAUACAAUGUGACUUAUUUAGUCACUAGGUAGUGUAAAUAAUAUGACUGGAUUAUGGAGUAGCACUCUGGAUAAGAAUAAUCAAAUGUGAGACUUAUUAAGUCUCAAAGGGGAGAAUAUGUGGAAGAUUUUUAUUUGUAAGAUUUUAAUCAAUCCAGAAUAAUCAAUGUGAAUCUAGCCAUUUUUGUUGCUAGUUGUUUUUCCAUUAUAAUCCUAUAGGAAAUGGAUAGAAAUAUGCUUACGUGCAGGAAUGUACAGGGCUAAUGAAUAACAUAUGGUUAGACAUACAUUAGGGACUUAGGUAAAGUGUAAUCUAAAGGAAAAGUUUUACCAUGUGGAACCGCCCUGUAUAGGGUAUAUAAUGAGAUGCAACCAAGCAUUUCGGGAGAGCUCCUUGCGACGAGCUCUCGACUUUGUUUUGCUUAAAAUAAAGUCUUUUCUUCUGAGAGAAAAAUCCCUGACUGAGUUUGAUCCUUGGGAGAACCGGCAAAAUACACCACAAUAUAAGCGUAGAUGCCAUUCUUCUAAUGAUGUAGCAAGUACAUCGGUGUAAUGGGAAGUGUACCCGGUUCAGGUUUACCUAAUUAAUACAGCCAAAAUGUAUCAGCUAAUUUAAAAAAAAUUGCAAAAAUUGAUCAAUCAUCUUCAGUCCUG